UCGUUUCCAAAAUUUGAGGAAAAAACAACCACCCAGCCGGUCGUCUCUAUUCCCCUUUUCGCCUCCUCACACCCAACACGAACAGAGGAAGGGAAAUCCCUAUGUCUCCGGCGUCCGCCGCCGACGCGAGCCCGACAACGGGGACGAUUCGAGGGGCGGAGCAUAGACGGCGAGCUCGACGAGACCAACCACCACGCGGAGGCCCAGAGGCCAAUCGUAGAGGCGCUCCUGCAACCAGAGCCCAGGAAGGAGAAGGGACAGGACGCCCAUGACGCGAAGAACGACGGCGGGGGGACGACGAGCUGCUACAUCUCCUGGGGGUAUAGAAGGUAAGCUCGUCGCGCCCUAACACUCUCUCAUUUGAUAGUUGGGGAAAGUCAGCUGUGUCGCUCAAGAGGGUAGUCGGUGCGUUGCGAUCCCGCGGGCAAUCCCGCACCAUCCACACGGUUUUUCGUCUUGAAACUGUAGCCCACCAUUGAACAGAGUGGGAUCCCCUCUCGAAUUGUAGGUUCAGGUUUGUGUGUAGCGCAUCACAAUUCAAGGGAAGGCGAUUUUAAUGGUAUUCACAGAAUGUUGUUAGUAUCCAGGGGGUGGUGGUGGUGUGCUUUAGUUGUGAUUUUUUUUCAGUUCAGGGGCUGGAUGUAGGCAAUUUUGUUCAACGUUUUAGCCACUUAUGCAGUAUUAGUGUCUCCAGUAGCAUGCAAGUUUUACAAUACUUGUCAACCGGGGAAUAGGCAUGUUUCACAGCACUGAAAACCGGGGAAUACCUGCAAUGUCAUGGAUCAGACAUAAUCCAGGCAUUGGUCCAAAAGAAAUUCAACAGAAGUUACUUGAGAAAUAUGGAGUUGAACCUCCAUAUAUGAGAUGUUACUAUGGGAAACAGAUGGCCCUUGAUGGGAUAUAUGGCAACUAUAGUGACAGUUUUUAGCUACUUUACACAUUCAAGGCUGAAGUUGAGAGGGCUUCACCUGGCAGUGUUGUUGAGAUUGACAAGCUCCGAGGUAAAACUUUCCAGAAAGAGUUCUUUAGAAGAGUAUUUGUCUGUUUCAAGGCUUUUCAAAAAGGGUUUCUUUGAGGGGUGUUGAUGCUACAGCAUUGAAUGGUAGGUUUAGAGGCCAACUAGUUGCUGCAUGUGCCACAGAUGCUCAUAACUGGCUAUUUCCUGUAGCAUAUGGUGUCAUAGAAGCAGAGUCUGAAGAGAGUUGGGGUUGGUUUUUUAGAAACCUAAAAAAUGUCAUAGGACACCCAGAAGGUCUGGUGAUACAUACUGAUGCUUGUAAAGGACUUGAAACUGUUGUGGAAGAGGUCUACCCUGCAGUUGAUCAUAAAGAGUGCAUGAGGCAUCUAGCUCAGAAUUUUAGUAAGAAGUUCAAUGGGAAGUUUUAUGAUGAGAAUUUGUGGCUUUCCUCACUAACUUACAGUAUCAAUAAGCAUAACUACCAUGUGAGACAGUUGCACAGCAAGCCCAAGGUCAAGGAAUAUUUGGAAAUGCACCACACACAAAAUAUGGGCUAGAGCUCUAAUAAAUGAUUUCUGCAAGGUUGACUAUGCCAACAACAACCUGGCAAAAGCAUUUAACUCCAAGAUCAAGAAAUGCAAGGGGCUGCACAUAGUGGACUUGCUACACAAGAUUAAGCAAUACAUCAUGGAGAAGUUUGAUAUAAGGAAUAGGAUUGCCAUUGAUCAUUUCAUUCGCCACAACAUCAUACCAUCUGUAAUGAAGGGCUUGAUGGCAAAAUCAAAAUUUUUGGAAAUGAUUAUGGUCAGGACAAGCCCAACAGAGGCAGAGGUGACUGCUACUGACAAAGAAAAAGGAGAAUGGAGGUAUCCAGUAGACCUAGCUAAGUGGACUUACAGCUGUAGACAGUGGUAACUCACUGGCAAGCCACCCAUCCAUGCUCUCUUUUUUAUUACAGCUCUUAGAGGUGAAGCCAAUGCCAUUGAUCAAUAUGUUCAUAAGUACUACUCUGUUGAGAUAUUCAUAGCUACUUAUGCUGACAACCUACCAGCUUUAGAGGGAAAGCAACAGUGGGACAUAGUGGAUCCAGGAUUCAAAUUGUGUGCACCAGUCCAGAACAGAGCACCAGGUAGGCCAAGAAAGCAAAGGAUCAGGUUCUAGUAGUGAAGGAAAGGGGCUCGGUGCUAGAAAGAGAAAGUGCAAGAGGUGUGGGAGAUUUGGACACAUUGCCAAACACUGCAAACAAUCAGUUGAUGUUGCAUUUGGAGAGGAGGAUGAACAUUAGGGACCAUAAAUUUGUGGAUGAGGCUGUAACAGAACCACUAAACAAUGAGGAAAAUGCAAAUGAUGAUGGAACAGAUGAUGAUGAUGAUGAUGAUGAUGAUGGAGUUGGGAAGGUCAUUGAGCAGCCAUCUACACAAAUUGAGCAGCCAUCUACUAGUGUACUGAGCCCUAGCAAAAAAUACAAAAGAGCACCUGACAGAGGGGCUUGUCCAAUGGCUAAGAAGAAACGAGGCCAUGCAGCAGUAGUUCAACCCUCUACUCAUGCUCCAUCUCGAGCUCCAGCUCCAGCAAAGAACACUAGAUCCAAGGAAAGGUUGUUACCCAACCCAGCAAGAAACACUAGGAGCAAAGCACUGAAGUUCUAAUUGCUCCCUGUCAUGUUUAACUUAAUAAUGUAAUGUGCACUUGGCUCUUGAAUGUGCACUAUCAUGUUGUGAUGUUGAACUACUUUGGUAUGUCGUCGUGUUAUGCUGAACAACUAUGGUAUGUUGUGUGUUAUGUUCAACAACUAUGGUAUGUUGUCCUCGUGUUAUGUUAAACUGAAUUGUUAUCAUUAUGUGACGUUCAACUAUUGUGCAA